GAGUAAUUUUACUCAUAACACUGUGAUUGGUUGUUUUCAACUUGAAAAGCAACCAAUCACAGUGUUAUGAGUCAAAUUACACUG